GUAGGUGGCAAGCGUUGUCCGGGAAUUAUUGGGGCGUAAAGCGCGCGCAGGCGGUUCUUUAAGUCUGAUGUGAAAGCCCACGGGCUCAACCGUGGAGGGUCAUUGGAAACUGGAGAACUUGAGUACAGAAGAGGAAAGCGGAAUUCCACGUGUAGCGGUGAAAUGCGUAGAGAUGUGGAGGAACGCCAGUGGCGAAGGCGGCUUUCUGGUCUGUAACUGACGCUGAGGCGCGAAAGCGUGGGGAGCAAACAGGAUUAGAUACCCUGGUAGUCCACGCCGUAAACGAUGAGUGCUAAGUGUUAGGGGGUUUCCGCCCCUUAGUGCUGCAGCUAACGCAUUUAGCACUCCGCCUGGGGAGUACGGCCGCAAAGGCUGA
rnacentral:rRNA from 1 species